rnacentral:rRNA from 1 species
AGUGAACGCUGGCGGUAGGCCUAACACAUGCAAGUCGAACGGCAGCACAGUAAGAGCUUGCUCUUACUGGUGGCGAGUGGCGGACGGGUGAGGAAUACAUCGGAAUCUACUUUUUCGUGGGUGAUAACGUAGGGAAACUUACGCUAAUACCGCAUACGACCUACGGGUGAAAUCAGGGGAUCUUCGGACCUUGCGCGAUUGAAUGAGCCGAUGUCGGAUUAGCUAGUUGGCGGGGUAAGGGCCCACCAAGGCGACGAUCCGUAGCUGGUCUGAGAGGAUGAUCAGCCACACUGGAACUGAGACACGGUCCAGACUCCUACGGGAGGCAGCAGUGGGGAAUAUUGGACAAUGGGCGAAAGCCUGAUCCAGCAAUACCGCGUGGGUGAAGAAGGCCUUCGGGUUGUAAAGCCCUUUUGUUGGGAAAGAAAAGAAGCAGGUUAAUACCCCGCUGCUCUGACGGUACCCAAAGAAUAAGCACCGGCUAACUUCGUG